AGCGAACGCUGGCGGCAGGCCUAACACAUGCAAGUCGAACGAACCUUUCGGGGUUAGUGGCGGACGGGUGAGUAACACGUGGGAACGUGCCUUUAGGUUCGGAAUAACUCAGGGAAACUUGUGCUAAUACCGAAUGUGCCCUUCGGGGGAAAGAUUUAUCGCCUUUAGAGCGGCCCGCGUCUGAUUAGCUAGUUGGUUGAGGUAAUGGCUCACCAAGGCGACGAUCAGUAGCUGGUCUGAGAGGAUGAUCAGCCACAUUGGGACUGAGACACGGCCCAAACCCCUCCGGGAGGCCGCAGUGGGGAUUUUUGCGCAAUGGGCGAAAGCCUGACGCUGCCAUGCCCGGUGAAUGAUAAAGGUCUUAGGAUUGUAAAAUUCUUUCCCCGGGGACGAUAAUGACGGUACCCGGAGAAGAAGCCCCCGCUAACUUCGU
rnacentral:rRNA from 1 species